ensembl:lncRNA novel transcript
GCGGGGAUUGUUUUCCACACCGUGGAAGCUUUGUUCUUUUCGUUUUUUGCAAUAAAUCUUGUUGCUGCUCGCUUUUUGGGUCCACAUUGCUUUUAUGAGCUGUACCACUCACCGUGAAGAUCUGCAGCUUCACUUCAGAGCCUAGCGAGACCACAAGCUCACUGAGAGGAACAAACAACUCCAGACGCGCUGUCUUAAGAGCUAUAACACUCACCGCGAAGGUGUGCAGUUUCACUCCUGAGCUAGUGAGACUACGAAGCCACUGGAACGAAGAAACUCCAACCACGUUUGAACAUCAGAAGGGGCAGACUCCAGACGCUUCAUCUUAAGAGCUGUAACACUCACUGUGAAGGUCUGCAGCUUCACUCCUGAGCCAGCGAGACCACGAACCGAUCUGAACAUCAGAAGGGACAGACUCCAGAUGCCCCACCUUAAGAGCUGUAAUACUCACUGCAAGGGUCUGCAGCUUCAUUCUUGAAGUCAGACCAAGAACCCAGCAAUUCCCAACACACAGGGACCAGCUUCUUUCCUAACUCACUUAGGCUCUUCGUGCUGCUCUGGCAACUAACACCCUUGGCUGCAGGGGCUUGGACACUACCCUUAGUCACUGACAAUUGUGUGAAGGCUGCUGUCGUUAACUUCACUUGAUCACCUUAGGCUCCUGUGAAGUGGUGAGCAAUUCAAACAAAUUCCUGUCGUCAAAUCAUAAUCCUGAUUUUGUUUGGAAGGACAGCGUGCCUGGUUCCAGGUGUUCAGCUGCAUUGGCGCCAGAGCACCAAUGGGGCAAGAGAAUCCUCUGGAGAAGUUUUCUGUGAUCUCAUCACAGGAGUAGCCCAGAGGAACAGCCCAGGGCCUGGGGCCUAGGAUGGGUGGACCAGGCCAUGCAGCUGGUUGGGGGCUUGACCCCCACUCAAAAAGACAGGAGAGAGAAGGGGAAUGGCUGUAAGCAGUGAAGCUCCUCUUUGAACACUGUAGAAGGUUCCCAUCCUGGCACAGGCAUGGUUUGAAGAUAAAAUUAUGAAGAGUUUCAGGACAGCUCCAGCAGAGCAUGAAACCAAGCGCCAGGCUGUUCUGAGAGUAAAACCCUGUGCAACUGUACGGGUCACACACCUGUGAAGCUGGCCUCAAUUAUAAGGCAACUGCCCACUGGAUGCUAGAGACAAAGCAGGACAGCUGAGAGAAAUCCUUCUGAGACCCUGUAAGCCUUCACCCUGCAGCCAACUUCCAAAGGCUAAAUAAAGGCACAGCUGCGGGACGGAGGGAGAUAUACUAAGGAAUGGAAAGAUGAGGGUGGAACUGGAUGGAGGUCAAAGAGAAAUUCCCAGUGAUACAAAGAGCCAGCAUAGAGAAAUCUCACACAGCUUACAUGGCUGAUGGCUGCACAGCAAGGAAUGCUAAAGUUCAUUCACUGGGCUCAAGGAAACCAUGAGGCGGGAGCCCGGCUCUGCAGGGAGAAAUGAAGAGCACCUGAAAGGAGUGUCAGCUUGAGUGAUGGAGAAAUUGCACUGCAGAGAAAUCUUUAAAAGCAAUUACCUAAUACUGCAGAUUGCUGAACUGUACCCACACCCAAGACUGAGCAUUGGAUCAAUCCAGAAUAUACAUCAGGUGUUCUGCAAUGUCUGCCUAAAACCAUGACUCUGCCUCCUCCAGCUGUUGCUACAUCUCACUAUGGGUUUCCUGUGACAUUUUGAGCAAGUAUGCCUCUGUGACUGGGGUUCUUACACUCCAGAAUGGAUGAGAAGCACCGUAAGUGGCUUUUAAAAUGAAUAUUCCCUGGCCCUUCAGUCGCUCUAUAGGUCAAGAAUCUGAAUUCUCAACCUGUCUAGAAGGUUCUGGUUUUAAUGGUCUGUGGGCUGCACAUUGAGAAACCUGUUCAGCGAGUGCAACAAAGGUUCCACAUGUGAGAAAGGAAGCAUCAGGUCUCUUGAGCCUGUUCUUUAAUCUGUAGGCUGCACCUUCUCUUUAAAUUCUGCUAAUAACACCAUGCGAGAAAACACCCGAGCUUGAAAAGCCCAUGUUCCAACAUAACUGUCCUUCACCACUCUGGAAAAUUAAUGGUUUGUUUCGAUUAUCCCUUUGUUAAACUCCAAAGUCAAAGAGCUCUGAAAGGCAUACGGUUAUUUUAAGUUUCAGGUGAUUUCUGUUGCCAAAUAUUUUAAAAAUUUAAAAUUGCUACGUGACCUCUUAGUAGUACUAUUAGAUUUCCUGACAAUAAAAAUAAGUCUUUUGGUUUCACCAUUUAUAGUUAGUACAGCUAAUAUUAAGUAUAAUUUUAAAAGCCUUUUAUUUUCUCAGAAAGAAAAAAUAAUCAAAAUCUGCUCAGUGUGGUAUUGAAUAAUUAAAAACAAAAGAACAGUAUCUUCACAUUAGUGUUUAAUAUUAAUUGC